GUGGCCGUCGAGAAGGAGCUCGGCCUGUCGGGCAAGCCCCAGAUCGAGGCCUACGGCAUCGCCGAGUUCAACGCCCGCUGCCGCG
rnacentral:tRNA from 1 species